UACGUAGGGUGCGAGCGUUGUCCGGAAUUAUUGGGCGUAAAGGGCUCGUAGGCGGUUUGUCGCGUCGGGAGUGAAAACUCAGGGCUUAACCCUGAGCCUGCUUCCGAUACGGGCAGACUAGAGGUAUGCAGGGGAGAACGGAAUUCCUGGUGUAGCGGUGAAAUGCGCAGAUAUCAGGAGGAACACCGAUGGCGAAGGCAGAUCUCUGGGCCGUAACUGACGCUGAGGAGCGAAAGCAUGGGGAGCGAACAGG
rnacentral:rRNA from 1 species